UUAAAAAUUUAUGGCAUGUAUUAUCCAGUUCCAAUUUUAGGUUCUAAAAGCGACUAACCCCUCUUAAUUAUCUUUUUAGGGUUUGCGUUUUUGCUUCAAUUUGGCCAUAUUUUUCUUUCAAUUGAAGCUCCCUGCUUGAUGGGAGUCAGAUUAGAAAUCCAGCCGUGCCCCCACAAAUUCUGUUGCGAUCCAAUUUUUGUGAUGCCCAAAUUAAAAUUGCCCUCUCUUGGGUCUCUUUCGCGAUAAAAAAACGGUUUCAGGAGUUUAUCAGAAAUUAGUCGACCACAUGCUACUUGAAGACAAACUGGAUUGCCUCAAAAUUAUGAAAGUAUUAUGUUGAUAGCUAUCAAGGGUUAGAAUCUUCUGUUUUGAUUUCAUAAACUAAAGCUUUGUUCAGUUUGCUGGUUGUGUUUAUGGAUAAUAAUCCAACGUUUUUUAAGGGUUGAUAGUCAUUACCCAAUUAUUGAUAGGUUAUUGAGAUAUCUAUUUUCAUCUAUAGAGGGUUCCAUAGGAUAUUUGUAAUGAAAUCGUCUGUUAUCUGAAUGGGCUUUGUUUGUUGCUGUAA